rnacentral:rRNA from 1 species
UACGUAGGGCGCAAGCGUUAUCCGGAAUUAUUGGGCGUAAAGAGCUCGUAGGCGGUCUGUCGCGUCGGUCGUGAAAACUUGGGGCUUAACCCUGAGCUUGCGGUCGAUACGGGCAUGACUGGAGUUCGGCAGGGGAGACUGGAAUUCCUGGUGUAGCGGUGAAAUGCGCAGAUAUCAGGAGGAACACCGGUGGCGAAGGCGGGUCUCUGGGCCGAUACUGACGCUGAGGAGCGAAAGUGUGGGGAGCGAACAGG